rnacentral:rRNA from 1 species
AACGAACGCUGGCGGCAUGCCUAACACAUGCAAGUCGAACGCUCCCUUCGGGCCUAGUGGCGCACGAGUGCGUAACGCGUGGUAACCUGCCCUUAGGUUCGGAAUAACUACCAGCCAUUUGACCUAAUACCGGAUAAUGUCUUCGUACCAAAUAUUUAUCGACUUUAGAUGGGCCCUCGUUAUAUUAGCUAGUUGGUAAGGUAAACGCCUACAAAGGCGACGAUACAUAGCUGGUCAGAGAGAAUGAUCAGCCACACCGGGACUGAGACACGGCCCAGACUCUUAGGGGAGGCAGCAGUGGGGAAUAUUGGAGCAAGGGCGAAAGCCAGAUCCAGCAAUGCCGGGUGAGUGAUGUAGGCCGUGGGGUUGUAAAGCUCUUUUACACGGGAUGAUAAUGACAGUAACGGGAGAAGAAGCCCCGGGUAACUCCGUG